rnacentral:sRNA from 1 species
CCGUGGCCAUCUUGACUCAAG